GACCUGCGUCAUUGGGACUGAGACACUGCCCAGACACCUACGGGUGGCUGCAGUCGAGAAUUUUUGGCAAUGGGGGAAACCCUGACCAAGCGAUGCCGCGUGCGGGAUGAAGGCCUUCGGGUUGUAAACCGCUGUCAGUGGGGAGAAAAAGUAGGUGGGUUCUCCCAUCUAUUUGAUCUAUCCGCAGAGGAAGUGAGGGCUAAGCUCGUGCCAGCAGCCGCGGUAAGACGAGCCUCACAAACGUUAUUCGGAAUUACUGGGCUUAAAGGGUGCGUAGGCGGCGCGGAAAGUUGGGUGUGAAAUCCCUCGGCUUAACCGAGGAACUGCGCCCAAAACUACCGUGCUCGAGGAAGAUAGAGGUGAGCGGAACUUACGGUGGAGCGGUGAAAUGCGUUGAUAUCGUAAGGAACACCCGUGGCGAAAGCGGCUCACUGGGUCUUUUCUGACGCUGAUGCACGAAAGCUAGGGGAGCAAACGGGAUUAGAUACCCCGGUAGUCCUAGCCGUAAACUAUGAGUACUGAAUUGGAGGGCCCUCCAUAGCCCUCCAGUUGAAGCGAAAGUGUUAAGUACUCCGCCUGGGGAGUAUGGUCGCAAGGCNGAAACUCAAAG
rnacentral:rRNA from 1 species